AUUGAACGCUGGCGACAGGCCUAACACAUGCAAGUCGAACGAGCGGCGGACGGGUGAGUAAUGUAUGGGAAACUGCCCGAUGGAGGGGGAUAACUACUGGAAACGGUAGCUAAUACCGCAUACUAUCGUAUGUGCCCAUAUGGGAUUAGCUAGUAGGUGGGGUAACGGCUCACCUAGGCGACGAUCCCUAGCUGGUCUGAGAGGAUGACCAGCCACACUGGAACUGAGACACGGCCCAGACUCCUACGGGAGGCAGCAGUGGGGAAUAUUGCACAAUGGGCGCAAGCCUGAUGCAGCCAUGCCGCGUGUAUGAAGAAGGCCUUCGGGUUGUAAAGUACUUUCAGCGGGGAGGCGUUACUCGCAGAAGAAGCACCGGCUAACUCCGUGCCAGCAGCCGCGGUAAUUC
rnacentral:rRNA from 1 species